GGGCGAUUAGCUCAGUUGGUUAGAGCAUCUGCUCGACAUGUAGAAGGCCAUUGGUUCAAAUCCAAUAUUGCCCA
rnacentral:tRNA from 1 species